CGCACGGUGACUUAGAGGUUAGCAUGUUCGCCUCACACCUCCAGGGUCGGGGGUUCGAUUCCCGCCGGGGCCG